rnacentral:rRNA from 1 species
AUUGAACGCUGGCGGCAGGCCUAACACAUGCAAGUCGAGCGAUUUUGGCUUCGGUCAGAAGAGCGGCGAACGGGUGAGUAACACGUAGGAAUCUGCCUGGUAGUGGGGGACAACGUCUCGAAAGGGACGCUAAUACCGCAUACGCCCUACGGGGGAACGCUGGGGACCUUCGGGCCUAGCGCUAUCAGAUGAGCCUGCGUCGGAUUAGCUAGUUGGUAGGGUAAAGGCCUACCAAGGCGACGAUCCGUAACUGGUCUGAGAGGAUGAUCAGUCACACCGGAACUGAGACACGGUCCGGACUCCUACGGGAGGCAGCAGUGGGGAAUAUUGGACAAUGGGGGCAACCCUGAUCCAGCCAUGCCGCGUGUGUGAAGAAGGCCUUCGGGUUGUAAAGCACUUUAGGUCGGGAGAAAGGUUCGCUGGCUAAUAUCCAGCGGAAUUGACGUUACCGACAGAAUAAGCACCGGCUAACUUCGUGCCAGCCGCCGCAGUAACAC